rnacentral:rRNA from 1 species
UGGGGAAUCUUCCGCAAUGGACGAAAGUCUGACGGAGCAACGCCGCGUGAGUGAAGAAGGUUUUCGGAUCGUAAAACUCUGUCUUUUGGGGCGAACGUGAGUAUGGUGAACAAUCAUAGUCAGUGACGGUACCAAAGGAGGAAGCCACGGCUAACUACGUGCCAGCAGCCGCGGUAAUACGUAGGUGGCAAGCGUUGUCCGGAAUUAUUGGGCGUAAAGAGCGCGUAGGCGGGAUAGUCAGUCUGUUGUAAAAGUGCGGGGCUCAACCCCGUGAUGGCAAUGGAAACAGCUAUUCUUGAGUGCAGGAGAGGAAAGUGGAAUUCCCAGUGUAGCGGUGAAAUGCGUAGAUAUUGGGAGGAACACCAGUGGCGAAGGCGACUUUCUGGACUGUGUCUGACGCUGAGGCGCGAAAGCCAGGGGAGCGAACGGGAUUAGAUACCCCGGUAGUCCUGGCCGUAAACGAUGGGUACUAGGUGUGGGAGGUAUCGACCCCUUCCGUGCCGGAGUUAACGCAAUAAGUACCCCGCCUGGGGAGUACGGUCGCAAGACUGAAAC